rnacentral:lncRNA from 1 species
AUAAAAUUAUGAUUCUUUUAUCACUCAUGAUUCAGGAAGGUGAUUGGCUAAGCUAAUGGUUCUCAUUUGUGUCUUAUCUGGUGGUUGGUGCUUCGGUCAUCUCAAAAGUUCCCUUACAUGUCUGGAAGCUGAUUGCACUGGACCACAGCUGGGGCUGUUGGUCAGAAUAUUUACAAGUAGCCUCUCCAUGGGACCUUUGCUUCCUCAUAUCAAAAUGACUAAAAUCUGAAACUGGGUGCCUCCAGGUGACCAGGCAGAAAUUGAUGGCUUUUGUGACCAGGACAUUUAUCUGCUUCCUAGAAAUGUGAUUUGUCUGUGCCCUGGGAGACACUUUUGACCCAUGAUAGCUAACAAAACUGUAUGAAUGAUGGUGCUGUGACUUCCAUGAAGAAAAAAAUAUGGAAGAAGAUGCUGAAUGUAAAAAUGGAGGCAUCUUUGGAGGAAUGGAUGAACAAACAGUAGGAUUUGGAGAUUAAUCAUUAUAGAUGAGAUGAAACCCUUCAGAAUCAAGGUUCAGAGGAUGUUAUUUAAUAUCUGGAAUGUCGAGAAGCCUAUAGGACCCCAAGGAUGACCAGGUAUCCCAGCUGCUUCAGUGAGUGGAACUGAUUGUCUUUGGCACUGAGGAAGAUUUCUACACCCCUGCAAAUAUGGUGGUUCUUUUGGAAAGCCUGGCCCUACACCAAUGACUAAUGCCUUGACUCUGAGUCAAGAAAUAUGCAGACCAGUCUGCAUAUUUUCAAGAACCUGUUCUGACUAGUCUCUAUGGUCAACCUAA